rnacentral:rRNA from 1 species
GACGUAGGGCGCGAGCGUUGUCCGGAUUUAUUGGGCGUAAAGAGCUCGUAGGCGGCUUGUCGCGUCGAAUGUGAAAUCUCAGGGCUCAACUCUGACAUUGCAUUCGAUACGGGCGGGCUCGAGUUCGGUAGGGGAGACUGGAAUUCCUGGUGUAGCGGUGAAAUGCGCAGAUAUCAGGAGGAACACCGGUGGCGAAGGCGGGUCUCUGGGCCGAUACUGACGCUGAGGAGCGAAAGCGUGGGGAGCGAACAGG